rnacentral:rRNA from 1 species
CCGCCCCUAGGGAGGCAGCAGUGGGGAAUAUUGGGCAAUGGGCGCAAGCCUGACCCAGCAACGCCGCGUGAAGGAAGAAGGCUUUCGGGUUGUAAACUUCUUUUCUCAGGGACGAAGAAAGUGACGGUACCUGAGGAAUAAGCCACGGCUAACUACGUGCCAGCAGCCGCGGUAAUACGUAGGUGGCAAGCGUUAUCCGGAUUUAUUGGGUGUAAAGGGCGUGUAGGCGGGAGCGCAAGUCGGAUGUGAAAACUCAGGGCUCAACCCUGAGCCUGCAUUUGAAACUGUGUUUCUUGAGUGCUGGG